rnacentral:lncRNA from 1 species
CUAAGGGCCGGACAGAUGGCAGAGUUUGAUGGUUGUCGGACUAAGGUCCUAAGUUAUACGACCUAGAUGGCUUGGAUAAGCUGAGCCUGUGAGGGUAUGAUGCAUAAGCUGAGCCUAUGAGGCUAUGAUGCAUAAGCUGAGCCUGUCGACUCUAUGAUGCAUAAGCUGAGCUUGUGUUCUUAAUAUGUCUGAACUGAAACUGUUAAGGCUAUGAUGCAUAAGCUGAGCCUGCGGGACUGUGAUGAUGAUUGUAUUUUGAGGGUACAUAGAAGAUCCGAGUAGCAUCUUGGCGGGGCAAUAUCCAGGUUGCAUAGUUCUCACUUUGCAACCGUGUGUUGCAGCCAUGGCUUUACCCGUAGUUGUGUUCAUCUCUCAAUUACAUGUCUGAGUCUUCCAGUUGUAAAAGUAUUAUCACAGAUUCACAGAUCUA